rnacentral:misc_RNA from 1 species
AACGCACAUUGCGCCCAUUGGUAUUCCAAUGGGCAUGUCUGUUUGAGCGUCAUUACAAACCCUCAGCCAGCGCUGGUGUUGAGUGGGCCAUUCUUGAACCGCCCGCUUCAAAGUGACGUGCUCUGCUGACCCGUUGCCUCUGGCUAGUACAUAGUAAGCUUUACUUGUGCGCCUGGGCGAAGGUUCGGCCUGAACAAAACUUUUUCAAAGGUUUGACCUCAGAUCAGACAAGGAUACCCGCUGAACUUAA